UUGCAGAACUCGCAGGUACCUUGGUGGAGCAAGAGCUUGUCAUGUUUGCUUCCCUUCCCUUGCCCAGAGAAUUCACCCAACCAAAGCCAACAGGAGUUUUCCCUGCAGGGAAGGCCAGAGCUGCCACCAAGGAGGGAAGCAGAGCCCCGUGGCUGUGGGAAGGACUGACCCUUUGCAGGCUGACAACAUGGAAGGACCCUCCCCAGCUGGGCAAGCUUUGUGCAGCCCUGGUUUCUGUUGCACUCGGGGCAGCUCUUUCCCAUCCUGUCCAGAGCAAGACAAUGCCAUGA
rnacentral:lncRNA from 1 species